CACCACCACCUCCCCCAAAACGAUAUCCAUGUCCUAAUCCCUGGAAUCUGGAAAUGUACCAUUUAUGGCAAACAAACCAGAAAGGGAUCUUUGCAGCUAUGAUUAAGACUCUUGAGGAGAAGAGCUUAGUUAUCCAGGUGGGCCUUUAAGGCAAUCACGUGUAACCUUAUAAGAGGGAGGCAGAAGCAGACCAGAGACACUGACCGGAAGGUGUGUUCCCUGAGGCAGAUUGAAAUGUUGAAGCCACCAGAAGCUAGAAGGGGCAAGGAAUGGAUUCUCUCUCAGAAUCUCCAGACAGAGCAUGGCCUUGCCAACACCCUAAUUCUGACCUCAGAAUUUAUGAAUGAAUGAAUUUCUGUUGUUGUAAGCCUCCCAACUUGCUGUAUCUUGCUGCAAUGGCCAUAGGAAACAAAUGCAGUACUGCAAUCGAUUGACAGGAAAGGAGGAGAACGGUUUCCUUUUUUUGGCCUGCAUGACUCGUUUAUAGAAAAACAAGCUUUUUAAAGAGAAGAAAUGUGGCCAAGAAAAGCCUUUGGCAUUUCAUCCUGCAUCUUGCCCUCCAAUUGCUCAAGAAGUAGCUGCUGGUGAAGACAAGGCUGCUCUCUCCCAAGGGGCCAGUUAGAACCCCAAAUAUUAGAGCUAAAGAAUGCCUCGUCCUCCAUGUAUUGGCAAUGAACUUCCCAUCAUGAAGAAAGGCGUAAUUUUACUUUAUAGUUUUUGGAGUUCUGGUUACUGAAUCCAUCUGGUUAGAAUAAAACCAGAGGAAAAAGGAGAGAAUGAAAUAGACAGUUUUUUUUUUCCCUUCCAGUCAAGAGAAGAGUUUUAGCCAAUGUGAUUCCCAUGGUUUCCAGGCUGUUUCGAAUGAAAAUCAACCUUCCAGCUAACUCAUGUGGGUGCAAUAUCGAUCAAUAAAAGAGCCCAUGAAACAGUUA